GGAGUGGGUGACCAGUGACAGAGGGAGGGAGUGACUAGUGACAGAGUGAGGGAGGGGGUGACUAGUGACAGAGUGAGGGAGGGGGUGACUGUCACUAGUCACCACCUCCCUCCCUCUGUCCCUAGUCACCCCUCCCUCUGUCACUAGUCACCCCCUUCCCUCCCUAACUCUGUCACUAGUCACCCCCUCCCUCACUCUGUCACUAGAGUGAGGGGGUGACUAGUGGCAGAGUGAGGGAAGGAAGGGGUGACUAGUGACAGAGUGAGGGAGGUGGUGACUGUCACUAGUCACUACCUCCCUCACUCUGUCACUAGUCACCACCUCCCUCAC